CUGACUCCAGCUUUAUGACAAUUAGUAUUGGGAGCGACCUCACGCGGCCUUUACCGGACGGCCCCCUCAGAACCGGCGUAUAAUCCCGUCGGGGGUGUGUGUGAGGCGGGAAGACGACCAUAGACUGUAUGCUGCAGACAGACGUUAGGUUCAUUACCGCCACCUACUGGGCUGGAGUUACCGGUGUGCCACAAAUUAGGGAACUGAGAAAGGAGCAGUGACAAGAAAGAAUGGAGUGGAAAAGACCGUCGCUACCAUUGCUCAGUGGAGUUCUACGUGCGGAGCAACGGAGCCAGUCGGCUAUUGUUUACUACCAACAGGAACCUCUUGAUCUCGUUGAGCUCUCCAAAACUGCUGGGAUGAGACAUGAUAUUCCGGAGGAAUUACUACGGAAGAGACGUAGAGGGAGAUGAGCUGGAGUAAAAGGGAACUGGAGGAACAGGGAGAGAGUUUGGAGAGAGCCUUAUAGACCGGCUCUUCCGCCUGUUAUCAUGGAAAAUAUUUGCUCCAUGACAAACAAGAUGGCAGAGCUUCAGACGCCCAUCAGGAGCCAAAGACUCUACCAGGAAAGCAGCCUCAUGUUUUUAAACGGAAACACGGCUGAAAGACUAUUACCAAGAACAACACCAGAAUCAACGGCUUCCAGACUAUAAGAGCGGACUGGAACGCUUCACCCUUUCAAGCUUGCCCCUCUUCCCUCCCCCACCAGCACUGGUGACCUCCAUCAGCUAGGUCCCACCUCUCCUCACUCCUUCUCUGUUGUCUCGAUUGUUUAUGUUGUUGUCGUUACAAAUAAUUUCCAUUUAAGGAUCAAUAAAGUGUAUAUUUUAUCUAUCUUAGUAUGUCCAAAUUAAAGUACUUCAUCAUGCUUGAUGGUCUUUGAGACAAAUACAGAGCGAAACAUAAGGUGUUCACACAGUGUGGUAAAAUAUGCCUUGGACUUGAUUGCAGAGACUGGUACUUACGAAAUGCAACAAGGAAGAGGCAGAAAAAAAUGAAAGCCAACUGAAACAAAUGUCAGGGACCUAAACAUUUUAAAUAGACACAGAAGUAAGACCACUGCUGAUAUUCAAGCAGAGAUUAAAGCUUCUAGAUCAGAAUCUGAAAAAGUCUCCAGAAUGACCAUAAGCAGAUGACUGAAGGAACAAGGCUUAAAGAGCAGAACAGCUGCUGAGAAACCAUUUUUGAGGAUGCAUUGCACCCACAGUGAAACAUCGUGGAGAUUCCAUUAUGGUAUGGGGUUCCAUUUGUGGAAACGGCAUGGAUAAAUUAGUUAAACUGAUGAUAUCCUGAACCAGAAGGUCUAUCACAACAUCUUGGUGCAUCAUGGAAUCUCUUCUGGAUUGAACCCGAUUGGUCGUGGGUUCAUAUACCAAGAAGACAAUGACCCCUACUUCAAAGCUGUGCAGAGACUACUGUACCAAGAAAAAGGAAUCUGGACUUCUGGAACUGAUGGACUGACAAAGUCAAAGCACAGACUUGAAUCCUGUUGAACAUAUCUGGGAUAUAUUGCAUUCAAAAAUAAAUUGCACAAAAGUUUCAUCCAAAGCAAGUCUCUGGGAGCUAGAAACUAUUUAGAGCUCAAUAACAAAGGAGAAUGUGAGAAAAGUACAUGAAAACAAUGCCAACAAGAAUGCAAAAUGUUAUCAGGGCCAAAGAAGGUCACACAAAAUAUUAAGAGUUGUGGUGAAUAUAUGCAAAUAAGGACUAGUUAGUUCUUCCAGUUUGUUGUUUGCCUCAUAAAUAAUACAAUUUUUAGCUUGAAACAAGUUUUUGACAGAUUUCUAUAAUAUCUGUGUUUUCUAAUUUUUAUGACAGAUGGUCGGAUAAAUUUGUUAAGCUCUGUAUAUUUUUCACUCUAAGAGGCUUUUUCCCCCCUGUGACUGGCAACAAUAGGAGCUUUAAAAAUGUACAGUACGGUGCCAGUCAGUGGCACACUUCAUAAGAAAAAAAAAAACAUAAAAUAUAAUUUUUUUUUGCAUUUAUGACCAAUAUUUGAACAUGCAUUGAGCAUUUGGCAAGUGUAGCCACUUUAAUAGAAGAGCCAACUGUAAGAGUUAAUUUGCACCAUCAUAUAUCUGGUUUGCAUUAUUGUAUCAAAGAAGGGGUGGACCAUUGAAUUCCAUAUAUGCAUGUAAAUACAUAUAAAAAACUUACAAAAUUUCAGGACUUGUGCUACAUUAUUCUCAAAUUAUAGGACUUCAAACAUUGCCCCACAGAUUAGUGCAACGAAAACAACACAAAAUUUGACUUGACCCCACGCUUCUUUAAGAAUGUUUCAUUCAAAAUUGAUGUUACCUAUGACUCCAGAUGUUCAAGACUUUAAAAAAAUAAGAAUUUAAAAAAAGUCAAAUUGAAGAUGGUCAGGCAUGGGACAUUCAUGAAUUGAGGAGAAAUGACCCUCAAAUCAGUUCAUCCUUGAAAUCAAGUAAACAUUUGUGUCAGAAUUGAAGAAAUUCCUCAAGGCUUUCCUGAGAUUAUAUCAUGCCUUUGACCACACCUGUCAGGAGGAGGCAUAGUGACUGUAAAUUAUAGUAUUUUCAAACAUUCAAUAAAAUUACCAUUAUUUAAUACACAUAGACAUUUAAUAGACAUAUCCAAUACUUUUGACAUCUUGUUUCUGUAGACCUACAGGUAUGUUUUUGCUGAGACAUGACCAGUUUUAUACUGAAUAGUGAUGUUACGAGACGUGCCGAGGCUUCGAAGCGCGUGCCGAGCAAUGGAGGGGGCGUGUCCAUGAAGCGCGUAUCGUGGCAUGCUUCAUUUAGGGGAGGAGCCAAAAAUGAUGAUGUUAGAAGCCUCGCAAGCCGGUCGUACCGCGUGACUGGUUCAGGAAGUGGUUCGCAGGUUUGACGUGCAAUUCAAAAUAUAAGGGGCAGUGAAACGCAAUGGAUUCCCCGUUCACAUUUGUUGGAUUUUUACCUGCUGUAUCUUUGCAUUCAAUUGGUUUGAGACUCUUUUUUUUAAUAGAACCAGCCAGAAAGAGAAGAUUCUCCCCUGUCUGGGAACACUUUGACCUGAUUUCUCCUAAUAAAGUAGGCACAUAACAAGUGAAGUGUAAUAUGAAUAACUGUGACAACACCACACAUCGCUUGUUCUAGUUUUUUUUCUGGUAUUUUAAAAGGUGAAGUGUCUGUUGUGUUCCAAAGAGCUAGAGAAAUCUUGUCCAAAAAAAAGAAGUCGCCUGAAUCCCAGCACUGUGGAAAAAUUGAUGUUUUUGAAUAAAAACAAAUAAAAUGUUGUCCCUA